rnacentral:rRNA from 1 species
AGAGCGAACGCUGGCGGCAGGCUUAACACAUGCAAGUCGAACGCGUGUAGCAAUACACGAGUGGCGCACGGGUGAGUAACGCGUGGGCAUCUGCCUCAUGGUUCGGAAUAACCCCGGGAAACUGGGGCUAAUACCGGAUGGUACCUUCGGGUUAAAGAUUUAUCGCCAUGAGAUGAGCCCGCGUCCGAUUAGCUAGUUGGUGAGGUAAUGGCUCACCAAGGCGACGAUCGGUAGCUGGUCUGAGAGGACGAUCAGCCACACUGGGACUGAGACACGGCCCAGACUCCUACGGGAGGCAGCAGUGGGGAAUAUUGGACAAUGGGCGCAAGCCUGAUCCAGCAAUGCCGCGUGUGUGAAGAAGGCCUUCGGGUUGUAAAGCACUUUUAUCAGGAACGAAAUACCACGGGUUAAUACCCUAUGGGCUGACGGUACCUGAGGAAUAAGCACCGGCUAACUUCGUGCCAGCAGCCGC